UGAAUACGAGAUGCUACGGCGUCGAAGCAGUCUAUGUCAUACUUCCAAGAAAAGCUUGCACUGUCAUAAACAAAUAAUGCCUGUACCAUAACCGACACAGGUGGGUAGGUAGAGUAUACUAAGGGGCGCGAGAUAACUCUCUCUAAGGAACUCGGCAAAAUGACUCCGUAACUUCGGGAGAAGGAGUGCCUUAUUUAUAAGGUUGCAAUAACAAGAUCCAAGCAACUGUUUACCAAAAACACAGGUCUCCGCUAAGUCGUAAGACGAUGUAUGGGGGCCGACGCCUGCCCAGUGCCAGAAGGUUAAAGAAGUUGGUUAGCAUCCGCGAAGCUGAUAACUGAAGCCCUGGUGAACGGCGGCCGUAACAAUAACGGUCCUAAGGUAGCGAAAUUCCUUGUCGGGUAAGUUCCGGCCCGCACGAAAGGCGUAAUGAUUUGGAUACUGUCUCGGAGAGGGGCUCGGUGAAAUAGACUUGUCUGUGAAGAUGCGGACUACCUGCACCAGGACAGAAAGACCCUAUGAAGCUUUACUGUAACCUGAAAUUGAAAUUGGACUUUACUUGCGCAGUAUAGGUGGGAGGCGUUGAGAAUAUUCUUGCGGGAUUAUUGGAGCCAUCAGUGAGAUACCACUCUUGUAAUGUUAGAUUUCUAACUUUGUAUCAUUAUCUGGUCAAAGAACAGUUUCAGGCGGGCAGUUUGACUGGGGCGGUCGCCUCCUAAACGGUAACGGAGGCGCACAGAGGUUUCCUCUGAACGGGUAGAAAUCGUAUCUAGAGUGUAAAGGCAUAAGGAAGCUUGACUGUGAGACCUACAAGUCGAGCAGGGACGAAAGUCGGUCUUAGUGAUCUGACGGUGCUGAGUGGAAAGGCCGUCACUCAACGGAUAAAAGUUACUCUAGGAUAACAGGCUGAUCUCCCCCAAGAGUUCACAUCGACGGGGAGGUUUGGCACCUCGAUGUCGGCUCAUCGCAUCCUGGGGCGGUAGUACGUCCCAAGGGUUGGGCUGUUCGCCCAUGAAAGCGGUACGCGAGCUGGGUUCAGAACGUCGUGAGACAGUUCGGUCCAUAUCCGGUGUAGGCGUUAGAAUAUUGAGAGGAGCCUUCUUUAGUACGAGAGGACCGAGAAGGACAUACCUCUGGUGUACCAGUUAUCGUGCCAACGGUAAACGCUGGGUAGCUAUGUGUGGAGUGGAUAACCGCUGAAAGCAUCUAAGUGGGAAGCCCACCUCAAGAUAAGUA
rnacentral:rRNA from 1 species